UGGCGGACGGGUGAGUAAUGUCUGGGAAACUGCCUGAUGAGGGGGAUAACUACUGGAAACGGUAGCUAAUACCGCAUAACGUCGCAAGACCAAAGAGGGGGACCUUCGGGCCUCUUGCCAUCGGAUGUGCCCAGAUGGGAUUAGCUUGUUGGUGGGGUAACGGCUCACCAAGGCGACGAUCCCUAGCUGGUCUGAGAGGAUGACCAGCCACACUGGAACUGAGACACGGUCCAAACUCCUACGGGAGGCAGCAUG
rnacentral:rRNA from 1 species